AGUGAACGCUAGCGGGAGGCUUAACACAUGCAAGUCGAGCGGUAGGACAGCAAUGCCUGAGAGCGGCGCACGGGUGCGUAACGCGUAUGCAACCUGCCUUAUACAGGGGAAUAGCCCAUGGAAACGUGGAUUAAUGUCCCAUAGGAUUACGGAUUCGCAUGGAUUUGUGAUUAAAACUGAGGUGGUAUAAGAUGGGCAUGCGUCUGAUUAGGUAGUUGGUAGGGUAAUGGCCUACCAAGCCGACGAUCAGUAGGGGUUCUGAGAGGAUUACCCCCCACACUGGUACUGAGACACGGACCAGACUCCUACGGGAGGCAGCAGUGAGGAAUAUUGGUCAAUGGCCGGAAGGCUGAACCAGCCAUCCCGCGUGCAGGAUGACGGCCCUAUGGGUUGUAAACUGCUUUUGUACCUGAAGAAACCUGGUUACGAGUAACCAGUUGCCGGUAAGGUAUGAAUAAGCAUCGGCUAACUCCGUGCCAGCAGCCGCCGUAACAC
rnacentral:rRNA from 1 species